GAUGAACGCUAGCGGCAGGCCUAAUACAUGCAAGUCGAGGGGUAGUGGUUGCUUGCAGCCAUGAGACCGGCGCACGGGUGCGUAACGCGUAUGCAACCUACCUUCAUCUGGGGGAUAGCCCGGAGAAAUCCGGAUUAAUACCGCAUAAAAUCACAGUACGGCAUCGUACAAUGAUCAAACAUUUAUGGGAUGGAGAUGGGCAUGCGUGUCAUUAGUUAGUUGGCGGGGUAACGGCCCACCAAGACCGGGAUGACUAGGGGAUCUGAGAGGAUGACCCCCCACACUGGUACUGAGACACGGACCAGACUCCUACGGGAGGCAGCAGUAAGGAAUAUUGGUCAAUGGGCGCAAGCCUGAACCAGCCAUGCCGCGUGCAGGAAGACGGCCCUCUGGGUUGUAAACUGCUUUUAUUCGGGAAUAAACCUGCUUACGUGUAAGUAGCUGAAUGUACCGAGGGAAUAAGGAUCGGCUAACUCCGUGCCAGCCGCCGCAGUAAAAC
rnacentral:rRNA from 1 species